CCAUCCACAAUUUCUACAUUUGCUCAGUAAUCAUCCCAGAGUUCUGCUUGGCUCAGGUCUUGUUUCCACCCUGGAAGGCAGCUCGUGCUGGAAGUGGCUUGGGAGUGAGGGGAGAUCCUCCACUGGGGAAAACAUGAGACUCUCUGUUAUGGGCACCUGCAGGGGGACAGGGAAGAGAAAUCAGAAGAGACAUGAGAAGAGUGCCGCUGUCAUAACUGAGCUUGGUGACUACUGCCUGCAAAAGGAGAAGAGCAAUACAGGCAGGGACAGCCUCCUUUUUUCCCUGAAAGGACCUUAUAGCCAGGGCAAGGAAUAUCGAGGUUCAGCAGGGUUGGGGGUGGUGACCAGACAGGCACAUUGGAAAGAGGACCUA
rnacentral:lncRNA from 1 species